CUUGGUCAUUUAGAGGAAGUAAAAGUCGUAACAAGGUUUCCGUAGGUGAACCUGCGGAAGGAUCAUUACCUAGAGUUUGCAGACUUCGGUCUGCUACCUCUUACCCAUGUCUUUUGAGUACCUUCGUUUCCUCGGCGGGUCCGCCUGCCGGUUGGACAACAUUCAAACCCUUUGCAGUUGCAAUCAGCGUCUGAAAAAACUUAAUAGUUACAACUUUCAACAACGGAUCUCUUGGUUCUGGCAUCGAUGAAGAACGCAGCGAAAUGCGAUAAGUAGUGUGAAUUGCAGAAUUCAGUGAAUCAUCGAAUCUUUGAACGCACAUUGCGCCCCUCGGUAUUCCAUGGGGCAUGUCUGUUCGAGCGUCAUUUGUACCUUCAAGCUCUGCUUGGUGUUGGGUGUUUUGUCUCGCCUCCGCGCGCAGACUCGCCCUAAAACAAUUGGCAGCCGGCGCAUUGAUUUCGGAGCGCAGUACAUCUUGCGCUUUGCACUCAUAACGACGACGUCCAAAAGUACAUUUUUACACUCUUGACCUCGGAUCAGGUAGGGAUACCCGCUGAACUUAAGCAUAUCAAUAAGCGGAGGA
rnacentral:rRNA from 1 species